GGGCACUUGGCGCAGUGGUAGCGCGCCUCAUUUGCAAUCACGUAAUCUUGAUUACGUAAGCUUGAGGAGGGCGUGGGUUCAAUCCCCACAGUGUCCA